ACAUUGAAACACCAGUACCUUUAUGAUCACCAAAUUUAAGCAAUGUUGAGCCUAGUCAGUACCUAGAUGGGUGACCGCUUGGGAAUACUAGGUGUUGUAAG
rnacentral:rRNA from 1 species